UUCUUUGCAGUAAUUGUAGCCACAAGUUCCCUUAAUCAGCAGUUCACAGGGGAGGGAGGAAGGGGGCCAUGACCCCGAGCUCGUUUAUGUAGCUGGGAAAGGAAGGGAGCUGGGAGAUAGCACUUCUUCACUUAAAGGGCAUCCCUCAGAAAACCACAUUCCUCAUGCAGCUGCAAUGCUUAUCUAUCCUUAACAAGCAGAAGGGGAGGGAAAAGGGUGGCAACUUUAUCAAGGAGGAACCUGGGAACUACAGGCCAGUCAGCCUCACCUCAGUCCCCGGAAAAAUCAUGGAGCAGGUCAUCAAGAAAUCUAUCCUGAAGCACUUCACGAGAGGAAACUGAUCAGGAACAGUCAGCAUGGAUUCACCAAGGGAAGGUCAUGCCUGACUAAUCUAAUCGCCUUCUAUGAUGAGAUUACUGGUUCUGUGGAUGAAGGGAAAGCAGUGGAUGUAUUGUUUCUUGACUUCAGCAAAGCUUUCUACACGGUCUCCCACAGUAUUCUUGUCAGCAAGUUAAAGAAGUAUGGGCUGGAUGAAUGCACUAUAAGAAGCCUUCACUGAAAUUGGAGUCCCAUUGUGCUACACAUCAUAUAAGUAUCUACGAGAUGACCCCGGAAGUGAAGAGCUUACAGUCUAAACAGACAAGACAAAGUGUGGGAGGGAGUGGAGGAACAGAGAAGUGAAGUGACUUGCUUACAGUCACACAGAUCACAAUCUUCCAUUCUGCCACUUGGCGGCACAGAAUGCCUACAGGCUCGGACAGAUGACUUGAGAGGUUAUAGCAGACGCACACCUGAUUGAGCAGCGCUAUGGGCUAGGAGAGGAUAUUGGCCUGUUUUCAAACAAAACCUAUGCUAAGCUGAGUGAAUUGGACCCAAAAUACAAGAAACUGUCUAGUCCGGUGAUACUCUAACCCAGCAUCUCCUCCCUCUGCAACCUGUGCUGCAUUGUGCAGUGGUUCGAGUCUGUCCUACAUGGCUGCUCACCUUUGUACAUUAUAAAUGAAAAAGGCAAUUUUAACCUCAACCGUUCAUUUGCAUGGCCAGAACUUAAGAUUUGGAAAAAGAUGCAUUAGCUUUUCCAGUCUGUGCCUCACUACAGAACAUGACUGACACUUUGGAUAGUAUGAGCUUCAGUAUCUGCAGGUAAAGAGAUUCUUUACUUCCUUUUGGCCAGGGACCUAUAGUGUUAUUGACCCUUACUGUUAGGAAAUCUAGCCUCUAGCUGAUCACAUUACGUCUAACUAUUCCUCCCAAAAAAAGUAAUGGCCCAUCACACUGGCUGCUAUGAAGUGGAUCAGUACUUUGGGGUUAAUGAAAGUGGCUGCCCAUGAAGUGGUGCUCACAACAGCCCUCAGCCAUCUCUUUAAUCCGGCUAUACAUGUCUAGUUUUUAGGCUGUUCCUCAUCAUUUGAUUCCUUCUGCAUUGUUGCUGCUCUCUGCAGUACCUCACAGGUGGCUUUGUCUACCUUACGUGGAGUUAGUCAAAGCAGACUCUCCAGACCAUCUUACACUGCCACUGAAAGGGGCUGUAGCUCAGCUACAACCAGAACCAGGGAAGGUUAAAGAGGCAGCAGGUCAAAGACUUUUUUAAAGGGAAGAGUCAGGAAGCUUCCAAGCUUCCUGUGAUCUUGUGUUUUGAUGACAGACUGAUCUUUUCUGUACGAGCAGUUGCCUGGCUUAUGUAGGCAGCACCUGUGAUUACUUUAAAAGGUAUCUUUGGUACAUGGCACGCUUAUUUGAUCAAGCUAUCCAGAUAGGCUGUCUCCAGUGUGUGCACUGAAGUACAGAAAAGCCCAGUUAUUUUUUUUCUGAAUGGGCAAACAGGUUCUCUUGACCAAAUAACUAACUUUGGAUUAAACCCUAACUUUAUACUGUAUCUAAAUAAAUGGGCAUAUGAGUACAAAAUGGCCCAUCACACACGAUAGGAAGCAAAAUUCACCUCUGUUGACUUAUGAACUAGUCAUUUGGCUUAUGUGCCGUACCAUGGAGUGGAUCUGUUCUGUAUUUAUUGACAAUGCUUUGAUUGCGUAAACAAAGUUAAAAUACUAAUAGUUGUAGCCUUGAACAAUAGUCAUUCCACUCAACAGUGGUGACAGCUGACCAGCCUAACUCCAAAGCCCCUCUAUCGCUGUUAAUUACUGGAGUUACUGAAAGAUAGCAUGAUUGUGAGGGUAGAGCAGGGAGGCGGUGAUCUGUUUUCUCUUCCCCUAGACUCACCACCUAGUUCUUAUCUGUAAAAUGGGUGUACUAUUUAUGCACAGUGAGGUGCUAUGUAGAUGUAAAGUAGUGUUCUGAUACAGUUGCUUAGAGCUGCUAGAUUAAAUCCAGCCUUGAUGUAUGAUGCUCCAACCCCUUGAGAGUCCUCUUAAGGUGGGUUACAUUCUUUCGGGUAAAAGUUAUAUCAGCUUCUGUUAGAAGCUGGAUUGUUUUUAACGGCUGAUGCAUUAGUUGGACUACACAUGCAGUGUAUCUUUCCACCUGUUAUUGAUCACUGUAGCUCUGGAAGUGGGGAGACCACGGAGCUCUAGGUUAGAACCAAUAUUUUUAAAAAUUAAAAAAAAACUUAGAAGCUAGAGCAGCCUGCUGUUGUAGAAUCAGAAUUCACUUGGUGCUAGCCCUACGUGACUACUGGUUAUUGAGAUACAUGAGGUUGUUCUCUCACUUUGAAACUACUGUAUGGUAUUUCCUUGAGGAUAUCGGCACAAUUUCCCAUUCAGGAAUACAGUAAGGAAACUGAGCCAGCCUAAUUCAUUAGGCACCAACCUGUCUACUUACCAUAAACAUAUUUAUUUGCAAUCUACAUCAGACAAAAAGAAAGGGUAGUGAAAGAUCAGUAAAUGUACAGCUCUUAAUAAAGAGCUUGGCAUUCCUUCGUUCAAUAGC